UCUCAACAUAUCUUCUAGGAGGACACAACCCAACCCAAUACAGAAGCGUAGUAAGUGUUACUACACAGAGGAACUAACGUGGAAAUAUGCCAGUGGAAAGAAGGGGGGAUCUAAGUUAGCUGCCCCACAUCUGUCACAGCGGAAAGCCAAGAGACAAAGACUGCAGUUGGUAAAGCGAGAAGCGAUGGUAGAAACUCACUCUUGCAUGAAGGUAUUCGAAGUGGUUCUUUUAUGAAGCCAGUCUAAGCACUUCAGUAAUAAAAAGAGGAAGAACAAACAGUCCCAACCCUGCGAAGAUGCUGUAUGGAGGUCAGGCUGCCCAACAGGCUGGAAGAGGCACAGCACGAAUGCUGCAGUCUGGGGCGCAGCAGGGGAGAAGGAAAGGAGAAAAGUUUGCCACACAGAGGAUCGGGGAGCAACAAUGAGGAAGGAAAGAAGAGACAGAAGGAAUGCCUGCCUUUAAGGCACUAGUUUCUACACACACAGCCUGCCUCAGAUAUAAUGAAACAGCAGCAAGUUUUUCAGUGAAACUUACCAGUACUGGAUAAGGAAAUUGAGGCUCAAGUUUUUCACUAACUCCCCCAAUGUCACAAGACAAAGCAAUCGAUCAGGGUUUCAAAGCAAAUUCGCAGAUGUGUCACUGACUGGAGAAGGUUAGGAAACACGGCUCCGGACAGAGUCUCCAGGGGUUCUGGAGGUAGCUCCUUCCUCUCCUGCUCCUAUUAUGGGACGAGCACUGCUGGUUGCCCUGCAGGUCUCUG
rnacentral:lncRNA from 1 species